rnacentral:rRNA from 12 species
UGGGGAGCAAACAGGAUUAGAUACCCUGGUAGUCCACACCGUAAACGAUGAAUGCCAGUCGUCGGGCAGUAUACUGUUCGGUGACACACCUAACGGAUUAAGCAUUCCGCCUGGGGAGUACGGUCGCAAGAUUAAAACUCAAAGGAAUUGACGGGGGCCUGCACAAGCGGUGGAGCAUGUGGUUUAAUUCGACGCAACGCGAAGAACCUUACCUGGCCUUGACAUGCAGAGAACUUUCCAGAGAUGGAUUGGUGCCUUCGGGAACUCUGACACAGGUGCUGCAUGGCCGUCGUCAGCUCGUGUCGUGAGAUGUUGGGUUAAGU